GGAGGUGUCGCAUAGUGGUCAAUUGCACACGCCUGGAAAGCGUGAUCCUUCACGGGAUACAAGGGUUCGAACCCCUUCACCUCCGCCA
rnacentral:tRNA from 1 species